UUCUGGCGGCGUGUCUAGUGCUCCCCAACGCCAUCAGGGGGACGAGUGGCCUUCAGGACGCCUCUCAGACUAGUAAAGAAGCCGAGGCAUUGUUGAAAGUCGCCGCGAGGGAUGAAAACAGAGUCCCUGAUGUCACGCUCUUAAGAAAACAGGAGUUGAAAGGUCCCCAAACUGUGUGUGGAGGAAAAUAUCAACGGCAUCCCGAGUAACGACAGCAGCACCCAGCCGGUGGCCACACAAGCUGCACGCAAGAUGCUCUCAGGCCGCCCCUAGAUGCCACCCCGGAUGCCGGCCUGGUGCACCCCCUUGUACGCCUCCUGGAGAGGGCAGACAACCUCGGGUGCUGUCGUGUCGUUCGUCAAGCUGCUCCGCUCGCCGCACACCAACGUGGCAUGCAGAGCAAGCCGUGUGGGCGCCGGGAAACACUGCUGGCGAUGGCCCCAAACUCAGAGACUUAGUCAUUAAGGCUGGCAUUGUACAACCUCUUCUGGAACUAAUUAGACCAGAC